rnacentral:rRNA from 1 species
AUAGAGUCAAGUGAAUAAGUGCAUCAGGUGGAUGCCUUGGCGAUGAUAGGCGACGAAGGACGUGUAAGCCUGCGAAAAGCGUGGGGGAGCUGGCAAUAAAGCUAUGAUCCCGCGAUGUCCGAAUGGGGAAACCCACUGCAUUCUGUGCAGUAUCCUAAGUUGAAUACAUAGACUUAGAGAAGCGAACCCGGAGAACUGAACCAUCUAAGUACCCGGAGGAAAAGAAAUCAACCGAGAUUCCGCAAGUAGUGGCGAGCGAACGCGGAGGAGCCUGUACGUAAUAACUGUCGAGAUAGAAGAACAAGCUGGGAAGCUUGACCAUAGUGGGUGAUAGUCCCGUAUUCGAAAUCUCAACAGUGGUACUAAGCGUACGAAAAGUAGGGCGGGACACGUGAAAUCCUGUCUGAAUAUGGGGGGACCAUCCUCCAAGGCUAAAUACUCAUCAUCGACCGAUAGUGAACCAGUACCGUGAGGGAAAGGCGAAAAGAACCCCGGGAGGGGAGUGAAAUAGAACCUGAAACCUGAUGCAUACAAACAGUGGGAGCACCCUUGUGGUGUGACUGCGUACCUUUUGUAUAAUGGGUCAACGACUUACAUUCAGUAGCGAGCUUAACCGAAUAGGGGAGGCGUAGGGAAACCGAGUCUUAAUAGGGCGAACAGUUGCUGGGUGUAGACCCGAAACCGAGUGAUCUAUCCAUGGCCAGGUUGAAGGUGCCGUAACAGGUACUGGAGGACCGAACCCACGCAUGUUGCAAAAUGCGGGGAUGAGCUGUGGAUAGGGGUGAAAGGCUAAACAAACUCGGAGAUAGCUGGUUCUCCCCGAAAACUAUUUAGGUAGUGCCUCGAGCAAGACACUGAUGGGGGUAAAGCACUGUUAUGGCUAGGGGGUUAUUGCAACUUACCAACCCAUGGCAAACUAAGAAUACCAUCAAGUGGUUCCUCGGGAGACAGACAGCGGGUGCUAACGUCCGUUGUCAAGAGGGAAACAACCCAGACCGCCAGCUAAGGUCCCAAAUGAUAGAUUAAGUGGUAAACGAAGUGGGAAGGCACAGACAGCCAGGAUGUUGGCUUAGAAGCAGCCAUCAUUUAAAGAAAGCGUAAUAGCUCACUGGUCGAGUCGUCCUGCGCGGAAGAUGUAACGGGGCUCAAAUCUAUAACCGAAGCUGCGGAUGCUAGUUUACUAGCAUGGUAGGGGAGCGUUCUGUAGGCCGAUGAAGGUGCAUUGUAAAGUGUGCUGGAGGUAUCAGAAGUGCGAAUGUUGACAUGAGUAGCGAUAAAGCGGGUGAAAAGCCCGCUCGCCGAAAGCCCAAGGUUUCCUACGCAACGUUCAUCGGCGUAGGG